GAUGAACGCUAGCGGCAGGCUUAACACAUGCAAGUCGCGGGGCAGCGGGGGAUGAGCUUGCUCAUCCCGCCGGCGACCGGCGCACGGGUGAGUAACACGUAUGCAACCUGCCCCUGUCAGGGGGACAACCCACCGAAAGGUGGGCUAAACCCGCGUACAUCCGGAGGGGGCAUCCCCUUGGGAGGAAAGGAGCGAUCCGGACAGGGAUGGGCAUGCGUGACAUUAGCUUGUUGGCGGGGUAACGGCCCACCAAGGCGACGAUGUCUAGGGGUUCUGAGAGGAAGGUCCCCCACACUGGUACUGAGACACGGACCAGACUCCUACGGGAGGCAGCAGUGAGGAAUAUUGGUCAAUGGGCGAGAGCCUGAACCAGCCAAGUCGCGUGAAGGAUGACGGCCCUACGGGUUGUAAACUUCUUUUGUCAGGGAGCAAUUGGGUCCACGCGUGGGCUUAGCGAGAGUACCUGAAGAAAAAGCAUCGGCUAACUCCGUGCCAGCAGCCGCGGUAAUACGGAGGAUGCGAGCGUUAUCCGGAUUUAUUGGGUUUAAAGGGUGCGUAGGCGGAAUAUCAAGUCAGCGGUAAAAAAUUCGGGGCUCAACCCCGUCGUGCCGUUGAAACUGAUGUUCUUGAGUGGGCGAGAAGUAUGCGGAAUGCGUGGUGUAGCGGUGAAAUGCAUAGAUAUCACGCAGAACUCCGAUUGCGAAGGCAGCAUACCGGCGCCCAACUGACGCUGAAGCACGAAAGCGUGGGUAUCGAACAGGAUUAGAUACCCUGGUAGUCCACGCAGUAAACGAUGAAUGCUAAUUGUCCGGAGGGAUUGACCUCUGGGUGAUACAGCGAAAGCGUUAAGCAUUCCACCUGGGGAGUACGCCGGCAACGGUGAAACUCAAAGGAAUUGACGGGGGCCCGCACAAGCGGAGGAACAUGUGGUUUAAUUCGAUGAUACGCGAGGAACCUUACCCGGGCUCAAACGCAGGAUGACGGGUCCCGAAAGGGGCCUUUCUUCGGACAUUCUGCGAGGUGCUGCAUGGUUGUCGUCAGCUCGUGCCGUGAGGUGUCGGCUUAAGUGCCAUAACGAGCGCAACCCCUGUCCACAGUUGCCAGCAGGUAAAGCUGGGGACUCUGUGGAGACUGCCGGCGCAAGCUGCGAGGAAGGCGGGGAUGACGUCAAAUCAGCACGGCCCUUACGUCCGGGGCGACACACGUGUUACAAUGGCAGGUACAGCGGGAUGCCACGGGGCGACCCGGCGCUGAACCCGAAAACCUGUCUCAGUUCGGAUUGGAGUCUGCAACCCGACUCCAUGAAGCUGGAUUCGCUAGUAAUCGCGCAUCAGCCACGGCGCGGUGAAUACGUUCCCGGGCCUUGUACACACCGCCCGUCAAGCCAUGGAAGCCGGGGGUACCUGAAGUGCGUGACCGCGAGGAGCGCCCUAGGGUAAAACCGGUGACUGGGGCU
rnacentral:rRNA from 1 species